rnacentral:lncRNA from 1 species
ACGGCCUGAGACUUGAUUUGGGUUGAUUAAGGAGUCCUAAACCUAAUCUAAGUCAUGUUUAAGCCUAUAAAAGGCCAGGAUCAGUGAAUUGUGUGGUGUGUGGUUUUCUAGUUUUGCCGCAAACCGUUGUACGGAGCCGUACGGAACGAACCCGAGAGGAGAGAGAGGUAGAAGCACUGAGAGAGAAGGAGCAGGAGGCUCCUGGACAGUGGACGCCAAGCA